UGAGGGUGGAAGGAGGCCAGAUGGUCACGUGUUCAUAUAGGCCUAUGCCUGUUUCUGCCUCUGGUAACUUCCUUCUGGGUCCAGUUUGAAUACCUUCAUCCCAGUACGAUUCAGGGCUUAAAUGCUGGGUUCCGGAAGCAUUCCAGAUGCAGCAUGCUGUGCCUGCGCUGUCAGCUUUGGUAUCUAAGGGUCAAAUAUUAACUGCUGCUCUCACCCCUCUUUUGAAAUAGGGUUCAGUCUCGGGUCCUUUUCAUUCCCCAUGCCUGUGUGGAGAGGAUAAAUCUGCUGCAAGUUUAAGUACACAUUCAAAUCCAGAUGAAUUAUUCUGCAAGAUAGUGGAAAAGGAGAAGUAAAUUGAAGGACAGCAGUUCUGAUAUCAGCAGAGAGAGCUUCAAGAAAGCAUCUUGUUGAAUGAUUGCAAAGCAAGAGGGCAGGCUCUCUGAAUACGUGAUAGCUCAAGGUACUGCCGGGACAAACAAUACUGAUCAAGACAGUGCAUUCAACCUGAGAGGAUGGAGUUUCUUGAUGGAACAACUGUAUCACAUCAGAGGCAAAACUUCCUGCUGGUGAACAUGAUGGCCAAGCUCACUUUAUAUCUCACCUCUGGGAUCCAGGUUUAGAUCUCUGGUUAUCAGCAUCUCCCAUACAGAACCAGUGGAAAUCCAACUCUGUCACUUAUCUUAGUCGUUCAUUGAUUAAUGUGUAAGUAGGUGACCCAAAGGGAAACUGCAUGAUUCUUCUUGAAAUAUAAGAUUUUCUUCUGUGAUUCAUUUAUUUACUCUGUUGUUGAUGAUUUCAGUUUUUCUUUAUGUAGAAUACUGAGCAUUUUAUAAAACUAUCACCCCAAUAGUGGAAAUACAGAGCCUCUGUGGAGAGGUAAGAUAUAGAGUAAAAGAUGAUCCCAUUAACUGCACGUUUCUUCCUAGGACUGUCUAAGAACAUGCCCUCCAAUGGGCACUUAGCCAUCUUUCUGCAUACUUGGAUUUGGUAGUCAUUAGAACUGUUAGGGAAUAUUCUGGUUCUCCACCUUCCAGGCACGUGGUAGGAUCCCCACUCUCCUUUUGAAGGUAGGCUUUGCCCUGUGACUUGUUUUUGCCAAUGAAAGGUGAAGAGAUGUGAUGUGCAUGGCUUCCCUUUUUCUGCUUUGAAAGCACGUGUUGCGAUGGCAACUCUGCUCACUUGGGUCCCUGUCUGAAUACAUUGGGCAGAGCCCCCACUGCUACCUUACAUUGAGCAUUCAUACAAGUGAGGAACAAACUUUGUUGUGUUGAGCCACUGAGAUUUGUGAACCUAGCCCAUCCUGAGUGGUACAUUGGGAAAGAGCAAAAUCAUUCAGUCUACGGAUGCAUAUGUGAAUCUAUAGUCUCCCCCCGACAUCAUAAAUUCCAAAUUAGGUAUUUGUUUUAUUUUAUCAUCGUAAAGGUCCCCAAAACAGAAAGAUAAAAACUUGUAACAUUUCCGAAUUAUUAUUUCUGGUAAAUUAUUACUGCUUCAUUAAACAUUAUAUAAAGCUGUUAAGUACUAAUUAUUUGUAGAGUAAAGUUUUAAAGUUAUAAUUAUGGCAAUAGCU
rnacentral:lncRNA from 1 species